rnacentral:rRNA from 1 species
UACGAAGGGUGCAAGCGUUAAUCGGAAUUACUGGGCGUAAAGGGUGCGUAGGCGGCUCCGCAAGUCGGCCGUGAAAUCUCCGGGCUCAACUCGGAGGGGUCGGGCGAGACUGCGAGGCUCGAGGUGGGCAGAGGGCAGUGGAAUUCCGGGUGUAGUGGUGGAAUGCGUAGAGAUCCGGAGGAACACCAGUGGCGAAGGCGGCCUUCUGGACUGACACUGACGCUGAGGCGCGAAAGCCAGGGGAGCAAACGGG